AUACGGAGGAUCCGAGCGUUAUCCGGAUUUAUUGGGUUUAAAGGGAGCGUAGGCGGACGCUUAAGUCAGUUGUGAAAGUUUGCGGCUCAACCGUAAAAUUGCAGUUGAUACUGGGUGUCUUGAGUACAGUAGAGGCAGGCGGAAUUCGUGGUGUAGCGGUGAAAGGCUUAGAUAUCACGAAGAACUCCGAUUGCGAAGGCAGCCUGCUGGACUGUAACUGACGCUGAUGCUCGAAAGUGUGGGUAUCAAACAGGAUUAGAUACCCUGGUAGUCCACACAGUAAACGAUGAAUACUCGCUGUUUGCGAUAUACAGUAAGCGGCCAAGCGAAAGCGUUAAGUAUUCCACCUGGGGAGUACGCCGGCAACGGUGAAACUCAAAUGAAUUGACGGGG
rnacentral:rRNA from 1 species